AACAUCGCCUCUUGAUUUCUAAUAAGAGGUCCAGCCUGCCCAGUGACCAUGUUCAACGGCCGCGGUAUCCUAACCGUGCGAAGGUAGCGUAAUCACUUGUUCUUUAAAUGUGGACUAGUAUGAACGGCUUCACGAAGGUUAUACUGUCUCCUUUUUCUAAUCAGUGAAACUAAUCUCCCCGUGAAGAAGCGGGGAUAAAGCUAUAAGACGAGAAGACCCUAUGGAGCUUAAAACUACACAGCACUUACCAAANAAUUUUUAAUGUUUCUGUANACACUNAAUUCUUUAAAGUAAAAUGACUGCAAGUUUUCGGUUGGGGUGACCACGGAGUAUAUCAUAACCUCCAUGUUGAAAGAAUUUCUCUCUAAGCCAAGAAUAACCAAUCUAAGCAUUAACAAAUUAACAUCUAUUGACCCAAUAAAUUUGAUCAACGAACCAAGUUACCCUAGGGAUAACAGCGCAAUCCACUUCAAGAGCUCCUAUCGACAAGUGGGUUUACGACCUCGAUGUUGGAUCAGGGUAUCCCAGUGGUGCAGCCGCUACUAAAGGUUCGUUUGUUCAACGAUUAAAACCCUACGUGAUCUGA
rnacentral:rRNA from 1 species